GUGAGGAAUAUUGGACAAUGGGCGCAAGCCUGAUCCAGCCAUGCCGCGUGCAGGAAGACGCAUCUAUGGUGUGUAAACUGCUUUUGUACGGGAAGAAACACUCCCUCGUGAGGGAGCUUGACGGUACCGUAAGAAUAAGGAUCGGCUAACUCCGUGCCAGCAGCCGCGGUAAUACAGAGGAUCCAAGCGUUAUCCGGAAUCAUUGGGUUUAAAGGGUCCGUAGGCGGUUUAAUAAGUCAGUGGUGAAAGCCCAUCGCUCAACGAUGGAACGGCCAUUGAUACUGUUAGACUUGAAUUACAAGGAAGUAACUAGAAUAUGUAGUGUAGCGGUGAAAUGCUUAGAUAUUACAUGGAAUACCAAUUGCGAAGGCAGGUUACUACUUGUGGAUUGACGCUGAUGGACGAAAGCGUGGGGAGCGAACAGGAUUAGAAACCCUGGUAGUCC
rnacentral:rRNA from 1 species